AACUUUGCGCAGUGGCAGUAUCGUAGCCAAUGAGGUUUAUCCGAGGCGUGAUUAUUGCUAAUUGAAAACUUUUCCCAUAUUACCAAUUAGUGCUCUUUUUGUAAAAACUGGGAGAGGUGGUUAUUUUAUCUACUAUGCAGAA